rnacentral:snRNA from 1 species
AGUUUUGCACAGUGACAGUAUCGUAGCUAAUGAGGUUUAUCCGAGGCGCGAUUAUUGCUAAUUGAAGAAGCAAAUGGAGAAAAGGCACAAGAUGGUGGACAGAACACAAAGCUGUUCAUUCAGUCAUGAUUUUGAUCACUUUUUCACAGCAUGGUAGUUAUUUUCUUUUAUCUCCUACUAUGUCUAUAAUAAAAG